GCAAGUUGAACGUGAUCUAUCCUUCGGGAUAGUGAAAGUAGCGCACGGGUGAGUAACACGUGGGAAUUUACACUUCAGUACGGAACAACAGUUGGAAACGACUGCUAAUACCGUAUAAUGACUCCGGUCCAAAGAUUUAUCGCUGAAGGAUAAGCCCGCGUCUGAUUAGCUAGUUGGUAGGGUAAGAGCCUACCAAGGCGACGAUCAGUAGGGGGUUUGAGAGGAUGAUC
rnacentral:rRNA from 1 species